rnacentral:rRNA from 1 species
UACGUAGGGUGCAAGCGUUAAUCGGAAUUACUGGGCGUAAAGCGUGCGCAGGCGGCUUUGCAAGACAGAUGUGAAAUCCCCGGGCUUAACCUGGGAACUGCAUUUGUGACUGCAUGGCUCGAGUGCGGCAGAGGGGGAUGGAAUUCCGCGUGUAGCAGUGAAAUGCGUAGAUAUGUGGAGGAACACCGAUGGCGAAGGCAAUCCCCUGGGCCUGCACUGACGCUCAUGCACGAAAGCGUGGGGAGCAAACAGG